rnacentral:lncRNA from 1 species
GGGAGCCACGCGUCCGGGUUUUUAGGGGCUUUGUCCUCCGCUCUGCGUAUCUGUGAGUCAUCUUCGAAGCAGUGGGCUCGCUACUGUCUUUAAGGACCACCUUUUCUUACCCCGAGAGGAGCCUCAAGUUUCUGCCACCCGCCUGCUUCAGAGCUUUCAAAAGUCUCAGGUCGAAACACCUGGGUUCUCCUCCCAGUGCUGCCCUCACCGCCAGGACGAGUCCAUCUCACGCAAUGGUCGCGCCUCUCCAAGGGUCGUAAAAGCCUCCACACCCAGCGUUCUGGCGGGGUCAAUAAAACAAUCCGUGUGUGAAAGCACUUGGUCCACUCCCUGUGAGCUGCAAAACAAGCAGAGUGACAACAGUGGACAAUUUCUGGAUAUUUAUUUCCGGAUGCAGAAAGCUAUACAUUUGUUGUCUUAUUUAAGCCCCACAGCAGCUUUUGAAGUGAUGCUAUAUUUAUGACUCUCUUUCUUUCUUUUUUUUUUUUUUUUUUUUUUUUUUUUGUCUUUUUGCCAUUUCUUGGGCCCUACCCACGGCAUAUGGAGGUUCCCAGGCUAGGGGUCGAAUUGGAACUGUAGCUGCCAACCUACACCACAGCCACAGCAACGUGGGAUCCUUAACCCACUGAGCAAGGCCAGGGAUUGAACCCACAACCUCAUGGUUCCUAGUUGGAUUCGUUAACCACUGCGCCACAGCGGGAACUCCAUUUAUGAUUCUCCCUUCCUUAGUGAGGACAUGAGACUCAGAGAUGCUAGGUGACUUAUCCAAGGUCCCACAGUUAGGAAAUGACAAUACUGGAGUUCCCAUCGUGGCGCAGCGGAAGUGAAUCCGACUAGUACCCGUGAGGACGCAGGUUCCAUCCCUGGCCUCGCUCAGCGGGUUAAGGAUCAGCGUUGCCGUGACCUGUGGUGUACCAGCACGUAUCUGGCAUUGCUGUGGCUGUGGUGUAGGCCAGCAGAUGCAGCUCCGAUUCAAUGCCUAGCCUGAACACCUCCGUAUACCUCGAGUGCGGCCCUGAAAAGAAAAAAAAAAAAAAGAGAGACUAGUUUAAUUUAAUAAUGGCUACCAUUUUCUCUCUCUUAUUCCGUAGUUCCAAUCUACGCCACAGGGGAGGGAACUGAGGCUUGGACUAUCGUUACUUAGCAAGGCCGCUCCUGUGACACGUCGUGGAUGCCAAGGGGACAGAGAUGGAUUUUCCUCCUGGUGGCUGUCGGAUGCCAACGGCCUUCAGGUUCGCCGUUGGCGUCUCGGUCCCUCCCAGUUCAGCGCCUGGGCUGCUAUUUAAUGUGUGGUCCCCGUCUUCUCACAUACGCAUC